UACGGAGGGUGCAAGCGUUAUCCGGAUUCACUGGGUUUAAAAGGGUGCGUAGGCGGGCAGGUAAGUCCGUGGUGAAAUCUCUGAGCUUAACUCAGAAACUGCCAUGGAUACUAUUUGUCUUGAAUAUUGUGGAGGUAAGCGGAAUAUGUCAUGUAGCGGUGAAAUGCUUAGAUAUGACAUAGAACACCAAUUGCGAAGGCAGCUUACUACACAGUUAUUGACGCUGAGGCACGAAAGCGUGGGGAUCAAACAGG
rnacentral:rRNA from 1 species